rnacentral:rRNA from 1 species
UGCAAGUCGAACGAUGAACCUCACUUGUGGGGGGAUUAGUGGCGAACGGGUGAGUAACACGUGAGUAACCUGCCCUUGACUCUGGGAUAAGCCUGGGAAACUGGGUCUAAUACCGGAUAUGACUCCUCAUCGCAUGGUGGGGGGUGGAAAGCUUUUUGUGGUUUUGGAUGGACUCGCGGCCUAUCAGCUUGUUGGUGAGGUAAUGGCUCACCAAGGCGACGACGGGUAGCCGGCCUGAGAGGGUGACCGGCCACACUGGGACUGAGACACGGCCCAGACUCCUACGGGAGGCAGCAGUGGGGAAUAUUGCACAAUGGGCGAAAGCCUGAUGCAGCGACGCCGCGUGAGGGAUGACGGCCUUCGGGUUGUAAACCUCUUUCAGUAGGGAAGAAGCGAAAGUGACGGUACCUGCAGAAGAAGCGCCGGCUAACUACGUGCCAGCAGCCGCGGUAAUACGUAGGGCGCAAGCGUUAUCCGGAAUUAUUGGGCGUAAAGAGCUCGUAGGCGGUUUGUCGCGUCUGCCGUGAAAGUCCGGGGCUCAACUCCGGAUCUGCGGUGGGUACGGGCAGACUAGAGUGAUGUAGGGGAGACUGGAAUUCCUGGUGUAUCGGUGAAAUGCGCAGAUAUCAGGAGGAACACCGAUGGCGAAAGCAGGUCUCUGGGCAUUAACUGACGCUGAAGAGCGAAAGCAUGGGGAGCGAACAGGAUUAGAUACCCUGGUAGUCCAUGCCGUAAACGUUGGGCACUAGGUGUGGGGGACAUUCCACGUUUUCCGCGCCGUAGCUAACGCAUUAAGUGCCCCGCCUGGGGAGUACGGCCGCAAGGCUAAAACUCAUAGGAAUUGACGGGGGCCCGCACAA